rnacentral:rRNA from 1 species
AACACAUGCAAGUCGAGGGGCAGCAGGACUGUAGCAAUACAGUUGCUGGCGACCGGCAAACGGGUGCGGAACACGUACGCAACUUACCCAAAACUGGUGAAUAGCCCUCCGAAAGGAGGAUUAAUACACCGUAACUUAAUGAGGUGGCAUCACUUUAUUAAUAUAGCUCCGGCGGUUUUGGAUGGGCGUGCGCCUGAUUAGGUAGUUGGUGUGGGUAACGGCCCACCAAGCCUACGAUCAGUAACUGGUGUGAGAGCACGACCAGUCACACGGGCACUGAGACACGGGCCCGACUCCUACGGGAGGCAGCAGUAAGGAAUAUUGGUCAAUGGACGCAAGUCUGAACCAGCCAUGCCGCGUGAAGGAUGAAGGUCCUCUGGAUUGUAAACUUCUUUUAUAGGGGACGAACCUCUUUUUCUAAAGAGACUGACGGUACCCUAGGAAUAAGCACCGGCUAACUCCGUGCCAGCAGCCGCGGUAAUACGGAGGGUGCAAGCGUUAUCCGGAUUCACUGGGUUUAAAGGGUGCGUAGGAGGGCAGGUAAGUCAGUGGUGAAAUCUUGGGGCUUAACCCCGAAACUGCCGUUGAUACUAUCUGUCUUGAAUCCCGUGGAGAUGAGCGGAAUAUGUCAUGUAGCGGUGAAAUGCUUAGAUAUGACAUAGAACACCAAUUGCGAAGGCAGCUCGUUACACGAAGAUUGACUCUGAGGCACGAAAGCGUGGGGAUCAAACAGGAUUAGAUACCCUGGUAGUCCACGCCCUAAACGAUGGAUACUCGACAUACGCGAUACACAGUGUGUGUCUGAGCGAAAGCAUUAAGUAUCCCACCUGGGAAGUACGACCGCAAGGUUGAAACUCAAAGGAAUUGACGG